ACGAACAGGUCCAGAUUUACGGCUUAGAUAGCCGACCGGAGACUUUGCAGCCUCUGAGUAUUCCUGCUCCAGCUCUGGCAGAGUGUCAUUGGUGGCAUUCAUUGGGGGAGAACAGAUGUGGAGGGAUGAUUCUGGCAAUUCUUCUGUCAGACCCUGAAGGCAGGGCAAGUGGAGGUCAAAGGGUGGUGACAGCUCCUCACUGCUCCUCUUCAAGAUGCUCAUACCUCUGCAAAUAAUCCCUGCAUUAAAUUCUCUCCAUCAUUCAUCAGACUUCCGGCUGACUCACCAAAGAAGAGCUGUGUGAUAUUACGCAAGUCCCUUACCUCUUGGGCGUCCAUUCACUUAUUUGCAAAAUAAUGGAUUUGGACCAGACUGGUGUUCCUCAAACUCAGUUCCAUAUUGGGGUUCUCGCUGCCAGAGACAUGUCCGGACCGUGAGAUGGGAAAGAAUCUUUCUCAGUGACCAGAAUCCUGGCCAACAGCCUUAGGAGCCCAGAGUAAGCUGCAUUUAUUUCCUGGACUCUGAGUAUUGGGUGGAAGGAGGUAGAAUGUCGUAUUUGAAGGUGAUUGUAUGUGAACGGGUUUCAGUUCUUUGUCAACAACAACAUUCAACGUGGAUCAAAGUGCAGAAAAUAUAUGCCUCCGAAAGCUGUUUAAAUUCCCAUUUUUCUUUUUGUAACUAUGUUUGUUGCACUAAGAAUCUGACUGCAAUGAUCUGAUAUAGAUCUUGUUUAGUCAAGUAGUGCCUAGAUACUUUGUCUUUCUAGAUUUCCUUCUAAAGGUAAUUAUUGGUAGUGAGGAAGAACCAUCAUAGAUUUAUCUUUAAGGAGAUUAAAAGAAUAGAAAAUGUCAGAAUCAGACUUUUUACUUUAGUCAGACAGAAAAAGAUACUUGAACCAAAAUAAAUAUUUGUGCCACUUGA